CCCUCAGUGUACUAGGAUGAAGGUGGAGGACCUGAAGACACAGGUGGGGACUGGAGGGAUGGAGCCCUCAGUGUACUAGGAUGAAGGUGGAAGGAUGGAGCCCUCAGUGUACUAGGAUGAAGGUGAAGGACCUGAAGACACAGGUGGGGACUGGAGGGAUGGAGCCCUCAGUGUACUUGGAAAAAUUAUCUAAUCUUUCUGUGCCUUGGCUUCCUCUUCUGUACAUUGCAAUAAUAGUACCUACGUGAGGGGUUGUUAUGAUGAUUGAAUGAGUUCGUGUGUGUAAAGUCCAUGACGCAUCAUGCAGUCUUGCAUGCUGGCUUCUGCUGCAAUUAUUAUGGUAGUUGUUGCUGUUACAAUACCAGCACCACUGCUGCAGUUUCUGUAACUACUACUGCAAGGAGGCAGUAUAGGAAUUUAGAACAUCGAUUCUGGAGUCAGACCGCCUGGGUUUCAAUACCAGUUCCAUCAUUUACUUGCUGGGUAGUCUUGAGCACCUUACCUUCUGUCUGUCUCCUUUUGAAAAAAAUGUGGAUAUUAGUUGCCCCUAACUUAAAGCGCUAUUUUGAAGACUAAAUUAGAAAAUAAAUGUAAAGCACUUUAGUGCCUAGCUCUUGUAAUGUCAGUAAGUGUUAACUAUCAAUUAGUGAGGUGUGACUUGGCUCUUAGCUGUUAAUUUUACUGUCGUUUCCUAUGUGCACCCAGUCCAUGAUGCAUAGUCUACACGUGCUUCCUGUGUGCUAAUCAUGCCGAGUUGCCACUAUGACUUAUUCUGAGUCAUGAAGGUAGAGGACCUGAAGACACAGGUGGGGACUGGAGGGAUGGAGCCCUCAGUGUACUAGGAUGAAGGUGGAGGACCUGAAGACACAGGUGGGGACCGGAGGGAUGGAGCCCUCAGUGUACUAGGAUGAAGGUAGAGGACCUGAAGACACAGGUGGGGACCGGAGGGAUGGAGCCCUCAGUGUACUAGGAUGAAGGUAGAGGACCUGAAGACACAGGUGGGGACCACAGGGAUGGAGCCCUCAGUGUACUAGGAUGUACUACCUGGACUCAAAACAAUGUAGUUUGAUUAUAAAAAUUCUAGAAAAGCUUCCUGAUGUUCUGCAUUGUCCAUGUCCAUCCUGAUGGAUGGAAUGACUUUGAGCAAACCUUGGCAUGUAUUUUGGGGUUUAUAGAUGUUCUUGGGCGGCACCAUCUGCCCUGUAAACCUCCAUUUGGAGGAUAGGAGGUUGUGAUCCUACAAAUUCCUGUGCCUCCUGGCAUCACUGGGUUCCUGUCUCCCAACAUAAAACAGAUGAAAAUGCCAGGCCCAGGCAUGGCUCAGCUCAGAGAGGUGUCGUAACAAAGUCACAGAUGAGAAAGGUGUAUGGAAAGAAGGCUUCUUUAAGAAUCUAAACUGCUGUUCUCCUCAUAAAAGUCUUAAGUCUGUUCCUAAGACUCAGACUUUAUGAUUAGAAUAGUUUUUACUUAGAUUCACUCAAUGUUUUCUACCCACCAUGUUUAAAGGCAUGGUAAAAAAAAUCACCUGAAUCAAAAAUAAAGUUCUUUUUUCUUUAGUUAACUCUUCUUUGCCAUGUGAAGAAAUGCACUACCACCCAGAUGAUAUGCCAUUUGGCUUAUUAUCAUCAAUAGCUUUGACUGGUAACAUUUUAAGUCUCAAAAUUUAUACGUUUAGUUGUUCUCU